CCCCUCUCAGGGUCACACCUGGAGAGUUUCCAGUACUUUACCAGUCUCAACUAUGGGAGGGACAGUCAAGAAGGGAUAUAUCCAUUCCAUUCCUAGCUUGGGCAAUGGCUAGUGAAUGGAAAGCAAUCUGCUACAAGU